rnacentral:rRNA from 1 species
GAUGAACGCUGGCGGCGUGCUUAACACAUGCCAGUCGAACGAAGCUUGACGGAUGAUUUCUUCGGAAUGAAACCAGAUAUGACUUAGUGGCGGACGGGUAAGUAACACGUGAGCAACCUGCCUUUCAGAGGGGGAUAACGGCUGGAAACGAUCGCUAAUACCGCAUGAUGUGUUCGGAUGGCAUCAUCUGAACAUCAAAGAUUUAUCGCUGAAAGCUGGGCUCGCGUCUGAUUAGAUAGUUGGUGGGGUAACGGCCUACCAAGUCUACGAUCAGUAGCCGGACUGAGAGGGUGAACGGCCACAUUGGGACUGAGAUACGGCCCAGACUCCUACGGGAGGCAGCAGUGGAGAAUAUUGCACAAUGGGGGAGACCCUGAUGCAGCAACGCCGCGUGAAGGAUGACGGUUUUCGGAGUGUAAACUUCUUUUCUUAGUGACGAAGACAGUGACGGUAGCUAAGGAAUAAGCAUCGGCUAACUACGUG